AGGAAGGAAAAACACUAAUGAAAACAAUAGCCAUUAUUUGGAAAAGGACAAGGAGAUGUAUGUUGCUAUAGGAAGGGUGUGCAGGGAGCAACAGACAUAGGGUAGGAUGCAAAUAUUAUAUAAAAAGAAAUUGCUUUUUUUAAACAAACAAGUAGAUUUGAUGUUUUUGGCGUCAUCUUGCUUUCCUUUGUCACAUUUAGUUGUUACCUCUUAGAAGCCUGUUAUUAUUUUUUUCUAAUGACAGUCAGGAAGGGAGAGGAUCCAGAGGGCAGUAGUAAGGAACCAGGAGGAGCAGAGGGAGAAGAAAACAUAAUUAGGAUAUAUUUUAUGAGAAAGGAAUCUAUUUGCAAUGAAAGGGAAAACUAAAAAUUGAAAAGACUCUCCUGUGAAUUCAAGAUAGACUUUAAUAGAAUGAAAAUAAAAGUAUUAUAUAUAAAGAAAAUGAUGAAAAUUCUUGGCAUGUAGAUAUCAUUAGUGUCAGCCUUACAGACAGCGUUGUAGAGGACUUCCAGGCAUCACUUGGUAGGGAUCUGUGCUGUCUCAUUUUUAGAAAUUGAUUUUUCAAACGCAGAUUUAUUGUUUUAGGUGCAUGAGUGGUCACGUGUGGACAUAUGUGCAGCACUUGUAUCUGUGUUUUGUGUGUAAACUCAAACCGGCUGUUGGGUUUCUUGGAACUGAAAUUACCAAAAGUUGUGUCUCUAGCUGAUGUUUGUGUGUUAGAAACAGAAUGAGAACCUGUGUCCUCUACAGGAGCAGCAGGGGAUGUAUUGAUCUCUGAGUGGUCUCUUUAGCUUCUGCCAUCAGACUUUGUAGUGUGAGCUAGACUCUGAGCUCUAAGAGACCUUCUUUCACUGGUGGUCAGUCUCCAUACUGCCCGUGGGUAUGAGCACUGAGUGGGUCUACAUAGGCAGCAGGAGGAAGACGGCAUCAUUAUGAACAUGCUGUCUAUGUGAGCUUGUUUACAGGUUCCACCGUUUCCAUGUUCUAUAGUUUCAUGUUAUAUAUGCUCAUAUGUUACAGAGCCUGUGCUAAGGAAGGCUUUGUUAGAGAGGAGCUAGUUUUGGAGCCACCAUGUGGCUCAGGUGGAACUCAUUGUUCGAUUGCAGGCCUAACAUUCAUAAAAUAUGGGUUUCAUCAUCUACUAUGCAUAAAAUGUGCUGUGGUAUUAGAACUUUAUAAACCAGUCCUUCAGAGAUACAGACAGGAAAAAUUAUAAGUUCAAGGCCAUCUAUGUCCACGUAGUGACAUUCAGACCACCCUGGUAUAGAGAUGUCUUCUCUGAAAAAUAGGAAGGAAAAGGAGGGGGCGUGGAGCUGUGUCAGUAGCUCCUGUUGGGUCUGUGUAUGAAGGACUUUGUGGAAAGAGAACUUUUAUGAGGAAUGGGUAAACAGCAUCUUGCAUGCACACAAACUGGUGGAGACUCUGCCAUUCUCUUAAAUAGACUUAGUUCAGGCUAUCCACAGUUCCAGGGGACAUUUGUCACCUAUAAUGACACCAAGCUUCUUUUCCAGUCUCUUCCAGUUGAGGGUUUAUCUAGGUGUGGCCAGAUAAAAAGAACCUCCCUUUUUCACAACUUCAUGUGAGAACCGGGGGACUUGAAGUCUGAGUCAUCACUGGGACACCUGCAAGCACUUGUCCCUUCCCAAUUUUGUUACCCAGUGAUCAGACUCGGGCACUGAGAGGCAGGUGACAAUGUGAGGAUGGUUGUGGAAGGCCCUAUUUUCUAAUCCAGGAAUCCCCCAGCUUCUUUUGGGUUGAAAGGUAGAGUAUGUGUACCUUCAGUUGUUUCUGUCAGGGAGGAUGGCCAGAGCUGCAUGAAUGCAGCUAUAAUCGUAACCUUUGGUGAAAAGUCAGAAGUUUUCAGAGCUCCUUACCUCCAGUCAUUCCAGGAAUGCAAUACCAUGCAUUGUCCAUGAGAUAGAAUAUAUAAGGCUUGGGCAAAGGAUGAAGAGUAAACAAGAGUUCUGGAGAAAAUGCAACCCUGGCUCUGGGUUACUCUUGGGUCGCUGAGGUCUUCUGGCAUAUCACAGACAUCACAGGGCACUGACCUCUGCUUUUUCAUACAGUAUACGCUAAAGAGAUCUGUUCUAGUCCAGUGAGUCUCAUGCGUAGUCCCUCUCAACCAACUAAGGAGAAAGUCAUAGCGUCCUAGUGAAGAGUUGGUGGGUGAAGGCAUUGCCCAGCGGGCAGCACACUCACACAGCCUUCUCUUCUGUGUUUUCGUGUCCACCUACACUGAGGCUUUAUCUGUGAUUCCUGGGAUGUCCUAACUGAUUGUACACUACACGCAGGGAUCCUCCUGAAGCACCAGUCUCACUCUGAUGUCUGUACCUGGAAACAAGCAGUCAGAUCAAAUGUGCAAACACUCAGUAGUAGUUAGUUUUCCGCCAGUAAGCUUUCAUGACUCCCUUUUAUAAUUGCAUUCUCAGUUUUUUCGAUGUUCAAGGGGAUUUGUAGAAAAUCAACUGUAACCCCUCAAGAUACUAAAAUACGUUCAGUCUCCUUGGCCCCUUCUACAAAGACAACAGAAGUGAAAACACAAGACAAAGCAGAGAAUACUGACAACACAAUUGUACCGGAUGACCAAAAACAGACAUCAGGGACUGUGGUAUCGGUGGAGACAAGAAGAACCAGACGUCGUAUGUAUUGUCAAAUCUUUUAAGA